GAUGAACGCUGGCGGCGUGCCUAAUACAUGCAAGUCGAGCGAACGGACGAGAAGCUUGCUUCUCUGAUGUUAGCGGCGGACGGGUGAGUAACACGUGGAUAACCUACCUAUAAGACUGGGAUAACUUCGGGAAACCGGAGCUAAUACCGGAUGAUAUUUUGAACCGCAUGGUUCAAAAGUGAAAGACGGUCUUGCUGUCACUUAUAGAUGGAUCCGCGCUGCAUUAGCUAGUUGGUAAGGUAACGGCUUACCAAGGCAACGAUGCAUAGCCGACCUGAGAGGGUGAUCGGCCACACUGGAACUGAGACACGGUCCAGACUCCUACGGGAGGCAGCAGUAGGGAAUCUUCCGCAAAGGGCGAAAGCCUGACGGAGCAGCGCCGCGUGAGUGAUGAAGGUCUUCGGAUCGUAAAACUCUGUUAUUAGGGAAGAACAUAUGUGUAAGUAACUGUGCACAUCUUGACGGUACCUAAUCAGAAAGCCACGGCUAACUACGUG
rnacentral:rRNA from 1 species